UUAAUCAAAUUUCAUCUUUUGUGGUCCUUGAAGUUUUGAAACAAGGAACACGAACAGCGUGGAAUCGAGUUGUAUCGCAAUUUGGAAUUUUCUUCGCGCGAGGAAUUAGGUUUCUUAAUCACUCGAUUCGUGUUCUAUAGGUUCCUUUGAAGUCUAGGCAUAGUGUUGGCUUUUUCGCGUCUCCUUUCCACCUUGAGAGUCAUCUGCUUGCUUACAUCACCUCAUGGCAGCUACGUUGUCCUGUUCUGUUUUCAUUCGUUAGUGAAAGGGGUGUUGGACAGAAAGAGUGAUGGACAUAUCUGCUCUUCUAACAUCUGCUGGAAUUAAUAUAGCGAUAUGCGUGGUGCUUCUGUCAUUAUACUCGAUUCUUAGGAAACAGCCCGCCAAUUAUUGUGUCUACUUUGGCCGAAAGCUUGCUAAUGGAAGAGUUAAACGUUAUGAUCCUUUUUGGUACGAAAGGUUUGUGCCCUCCCCAAGUUGGCUGUUGAGGUCCUGGGAAACCACUGAAGACGAGUUAUUGGCUACUGCUGGUCUGGAUGCUGUGGUUUUCAUCAGGAUGGUCGUUUUCAGCAUUCGUCUGUUUUUCAUUGCUGCUAUUAUUUGCAUUGGCCUUGUAUUGCCUGUUAACUAUUAUGGGCAACAGAUGGAGCACAAGGAAAUCCAUUUGGAGUCAUCUGAUGCAUUCACAAUUGAGAACAUUAAGGAAGGCUCAAAAUGGCUCUGGGCGCAUUGUCUUGCAUUGUAUGUCAUAUCGUUUGCGGCUUGUAUUCUUCUCUAUUUUGAGUACAAGAGCAUAGCAAAAAUGAGGCUUGCAUAUAUUACUGGAUCUGCCUCGAAGCCUAGUCAUUUUACAGUUCUUAUCCGUGCUAUUCCAUAUUUUCCUGGACAAUCCUACAGUGAAACAGUGACCAAAUUCUUCACAAAUUACUAUGCAUCGAGCUAUUUGUCGCACCAAAUGGUCUACCACAAUGGCAUCAUUCAGAGAUUGCUGCGUGAUGCAGAGAGGAUGUGCCAAGCUAUAAAGCAUGUUUCUCCAGAUGUAAGUUGUAAACCCAGUUUGACUCGAUGCACCUUCUGUAGCGGGGCUACACCUACAAGUUCCUUUCAUAUCCUUGCUCACGAGACAGAUAGUAAUAAAAGCAUGGAGCUUGGUGAGUUGUCUUUGGCUACAACAGAGCAAGAGCGUCCAUCUGCUUUUGUCUUUUUCAAGACACGUUAUGCUGCUCUUGUUGUUUCGGAGGUUCUUCAAUCACCGAAUCCUAUGUUAUGGGUGGCAGACUUAGCUCCAGAACCUCAUGAUGUUUAUUGGAGGAAUCUCCGCCUACCUUAUCAGCAACUAUGGAUACGGAAAAUAGCAACACUUGUUGGUGCAAUUGCCUUCAUGUUUGUGUUUCUCAUACCUGUGACCUUCAUUCAGGGUUUGACUCAACUAGAACAGCUCUCCCACGCAUUUCCUUUUCUAAGAGGCAUUUUGAAAGGGAGGUUUAUGAACCAAGUCAUCACAGGGUACUUACCAAGUGUCAUCUUGAUACUCUUUUUCUAUGCGGUUCCACCCACAAUGAUGUAUUUUUCGACAUUGGAAGGAUGUGCAUCACGGAGUAGAAGGAAGAGAAGUGCAUGCAUCAAAGUUUUAUAUUUCACCAUUUGGAAUGUAUUCUUCGUGAAUAUUCUUUCAGGAUCGAUUAUCAGGCAAUUAAGCGUGUUCUCGAGUGUUAGAGACUUACCAACGCAACUUGCCAAAGCAGUGCCGACACAGGCUAGCUUCUUCAUGACUUAUGUUUUCACAUCAGGUUGGGCCAGUUUGGCAUGUGAAAUCAUGCAACCCAUUGCUCUUAUCUGGAAUCUGGUUGCAAAACUUAUUGUCAAGAACCAGGAUGAUUCGUAUGUGACGCUGAGGUUUCCGUAUCAUACUGAAAUUCCAAGGCUACUUUUGUUUGGGCUCCUUGGUUUCACCAAUUCUGUCCUGGCGCCUCUUAUACUGCCAUUCUUGCUGAUCUAUUUUUCCCUCGCAUAUCUUAUAUACAAAAAUCAGAUACUCAACGUCUACAUUACCAAAUAUGAAAGUGGUGGACAAUAUUGGCCUAUUUUCCACAGCACAACACUGUUUUCAUUGAUCCUGACACAAAUUAUAGCGUUGGGAUUUUUUGGAUUAAAGCUCUCGCCGGUGGCUUCGGGUUUCACCAUCCCUUUAAUUCUUCUCACUCUUCUUUUUAGCGAGUAUUGCCGGCAGAGAUUCUUGCCAAUUUUCAAGAAACAUCCAGCUCAGGUUCUUAUAGACAUGGACAGAGAAGAUGAGCAGUCAGGAAAGAUUGAAGAGAUACACAAAGUUCUGCAAACUGCGUAUUGUCAGAUCCAGUUAUCCUCCCAGGAAUCGAGCAAAGCUGGGAGCAGUGUUCCUUGCUCAGAUCCAGAAACACAAGAUCCUGAAAAUAUGAAUCAAGGUGGAGAGAACGGCAAAGGUAAAGAAUUAUGGGAGGUUUUCCAGAGCAAUGAAGAGAAAGAAGAAAGCGGCGAAUGUGCUGAGAUCAAGCCCUGUACUAGCCCCAGUGUUUCUCCAAAGCUGAUUGAGCUUUCGUGACCGAACGCAGAGCUCAGGUUUAAGUAGGUGGAGGAGUUGCACUCCAUAUAUCUUCACUCCAUGAGUUGUUCAGACAGAACAAACUUCUUGGAACAGCCAUCCAUCUUGACAACGUGGUACGGGGAUCAGGAGGGAGCAUAUGGUAACGAGAUUCCGUGCCUUUGAAGAGGGGGAAUAUAUGGUUGCUUUGGAGUAUCUGUCCUUUUGUAGAUAAUAAAUACCCUCUAGGAAAUGUAGGCGUUCGAAGUGAAGGAAAAAAAGGGGGGGAAAGUCACAGAAAUAUGUGUAGUCCUCCUAAGAUAAAGAAGUACAUUUCAUAGUUCUGGCCAACAGAAGGAGAACGGUGAAGAAAAACACUCAUCUGCUUCUUUCUUGGAACAGCAACCAUAUCUACGUGUGAGGUUUUAUACUCAUUUUUUCUGCAGACGUGAAAAGUCGGAAUCAUUCGCUAAUUUCACUUAUUAGCGUGGGCCGUGGGAUGAGCUAAGCAAGGACGUCACAGUGGGAGCCGUCAAUCUCCUCGUCAACUCUCUUUCUUUCAGAUAAAGCUUGACUCUAAAUUUUCCAUCACUCGUAGAUAUUUUCGGCGGAACCGAAGAUAAACCCAUGAUUUCUCCGCCGCCAAAGUCUCAGCCUUUGGAAUCUCCGCCGCGGAUUCGUGCGUGUUCACUCCCUCGGUUCAUCAACUGUUCUUGCAUUUUCUUCUUCCGAGACGAUGGUUCUACUGAUACUUGUCCUGAGAUUGAUCUAUCUCUGUCUCUUCCACAGACACAGAUACGAAGUGGGCACUCUCUCGUAUGUCGCCUUGUCGCUUGUAGCCAUCGCUUUUGAUCUUCUCUGUACAGUCACGUGGCUUGGUUAUGUUAUUGCUUAGGUUACUGCCACUGUUUUUGUGAUUCCAUUCGAGAAGGAACUGAAACAGAGCAUUGAUGCUUUGAUUCAGCGAUCAUGGUUUGUUCAUUGUAGUUUUGAUUUAUGAUGUAAGGUUUCUUUUUUUAUUCAAAUGAAAUAUUAUGGGUUAUUGCAGUUCA